GUGUCAGCCGCCGCGGUAAUACGUAGGGUCCAAGCGUUAAUCGGAAUUACUGGGCGUAAAGCGUGCGCAGGCGGUUGUGCAAGACCGAUGUGAAAUCCCCGAGCUUAACUUGGGAAUUGCAUUGGUGACUGCACGGCUAGAGUGUGUCAGAGGGGGGUAGAAUUCCACGUGUAGCAGUGAAAUGCGUAGAGAUGUGGAGGAAUACCGAUGGCGAAGGCAGCCCCCUGGGAUAACACUGACGCUCAUGCACGAAAGCGUGGGGAGCAAACAGGAUUAGAUACCCUGGUAGUCCACGCCCUAAACGAUGUCAACUAGUUGUUGGGGAUUCAUUUCCUUAGUAACGUAGCUAACGCGUGAAGUUGACCGCCUGGGGAGUACGGUCGCAAGAUUAAA
rnacentral:rRNA from 1 species